UACGUAGGCAGCAAGCGUUGUUCGGAGUUACUGGGCGUAAAGGGUGUGUAGGCGGUUGCUUAAGUUUGGUGUGAAAUCUCCCGGCUCAACUGGGAGGGUGCGCCGAAUACUGAGUGACUCGAGUGCGGGAGAGGAAAGUGGAAUUCCUGGUGUAGCGGUGAAAUGCGUAGAUAUCAGGAGGAACACCUGUGGCGAAAGCGGCGCACUGGACCAUAACUGACGCUGAGGCGCGAAAGCUAGGGGAGCAAACAGG
rnacentral:rRNA from 1 species